GCAAGAUGUCUACUGAAGAGCAAGGGAGUGCCAUCGGAGUUUUGGGGAGAAGCAGUCAUGACGGCGAUAUAUAUUCUGAAUCGGUCACCAUCAAGAAGCUUAGAGGCUGCUACUCCAUAUGAAAAGUGGUAUGGAUGCAAGCCAAGUGUGCAACACAUGCGCACAUUUGGUUGUAUCGCAUAUGUGAAGAAGCUUGGUCCCGGCAUCAACAAACUUGCUGAUCGUUCGAUACGAGGCGUGUUCUUUGGCUAUGAGCCGGAAAGUAAAUCCUAUCGUGUUUAUGAUCCGGUGGCAAAGAAGCUGAUGGUGAGCAGGGAUGUGAUCUUUGAUGAAAGCAGAGCAUGGGAAUGGGAGCAACACGCUGGUGAUGAAGGAAGAUCCAGCAAUACUUUUAUUGUUGAACUGUCAAUGACAGCAACUAGUUCAACAGUAAGCGGAGCAGCUGAGUCAUCAUCUGGUGCUAGUGAGCUAUACCCUACAUUCCCUAUACUCUCGACACCACCUCCGACACAAUCUGCACCUGGUGUUCAGUGGGCAACGCCACCAUCUUCUGGAGCAGAAGAUAGUGAAGGAAAUCCACUGAGAUUUCGCAUGUUGUCUGAUGUGCUCGACAACACUGAUGAAGUACAGAAUUUUGAAUAUAGUGGUUUAUGUUUCUUAGCGGCUGAUGAACCUAGAGGAGUUGAGGAAGCACUGAAAGAAGAAAAUUGGCGUAAAGCUAUGGAAACUGAGAUAGAGUCCAUAAUUGAGAAUGAAACAUGGACGCUAGAGUCUCUACCCUCAGGAUACCGAGCUAUAGGCCUCAAGUGGGUUUUCAAGGUGAAGAAAGACCCAUCCGGAAACAUUGUAAAGCACAAGGCCCGGUUAGUGGCCAAAGGAUAUGCUCAGAAACAAGGUAUUGAUUAUGAUGAAGUGUUUGCCCCGGUGGCGAGAUUGUUUUCUUAGCGGCUGAUGAACCUACAGGAGUUGAGGAAGCACUGAAAGAAGAAAAUUGGCGUAAAGCUAUGGAAAUUGAGAUAGAGUCCAUAAUUGAGAAUGAAACAUGGACGCUAGAGUCUCGACCCUCAGGAUACCGAGCAAUAGGCCUCAAGUGGGUUUUCAAGGUGAAGAAAGACCCAUCCGGAAACAUUGUAAAGCACAAG
rnacentral:lncRNA from 1 species